rnacentral:rRNA from 1 species
AUUGAACGCUGGCGGCAGGCCUAACACAUGCCAGUCGAGCGGAUGAAGGGAGCUUGCUCCCGGAUUCAGCGGCGGACGGGUGAGUAAUGCCUAGGAAUCUGCCUGGUAGUGGGGGAUAACGUCCGGAAACGGGCGCUAAUACCGCAUACGUCCUGAGGGAGAAAGUGGGGGAUCUUCGGACCUCACGCUAUCAGAUGAGCCUAGGUCGGAUUAGCUAGUUGGUGGGGUAAAGGCCUACCAAGGCGACGAUCCGUAACUGGUCUGAGAGGAUGAUCAGUCACACUGGAACUGAGACACGGUCCAGACUCCUACGGGAGGCAGCAGUGGGGAAUAUUGGACAAUGGGCGAAAGCCUGAUCCAGCCAUGCCGCGUGUGUGAAGAAGGUCUUCGGAUUGUAAAGCACUUUAAGUUGGGAGGAAGGGCAGUAAGUUAAUACCUUGCUGUUUUGACGUUACCAACAGAAUAAGCACCGGCUAACUUCGUG